rnacentral:rRNA from 1 species
UACAGAGGAGCCAAGCGUUGUUCGGAUUGACUGGGCGUAAAGCGCACGCAGGCGGACGCGCGCGCGGGGUGUGAAAUCUGGCCGCUUAACGGCCAGGCGCCAUCCCAUACGGCGCGUCUGGAGUGAUGCAGAGGUCGAUGGAAUUGCCGGUGUAGUGGUGAAAUGCGUAGAGAUCGGCAGGAACACCCAGGGGGAAACCAGUCGACUGGGCAUCUACUGACGCUGAGGUGCGAGAGCGUGGGGAGCGAACCGG